rnacentral:rRNA from 1 species
GUUGAACGCUGGCGGCAUGCCUUACACAUGCAAGUCGAACGGCAGCACGGGUGCUUGCACCUGGUGGCGAGUGGCGAACGGGUGAGUAAUACAUCGGAACGUACCUUAUCGUGGGGGAUAACGCAGCGAAAGCUGUGCUAAUGCCGCAUACGCCCUGAGGGGGAAAGCGGGGGAUCGAAAGACCUCGCGCGAUUAGAGCGGCCGAUGCCUGAUUAGCUUGUUGGUGGGGUAAAAGCCCACCAAGGCGACGAUCAGUAGCUGGUCUGAGAGGACGAUCAGCCACACUGGGACUAAGACACGGCCCAGACUCCUCCGGGAGGCAGCAGUGGGGAAUUUUGGACAAUGGGGGCAACCCUGAUCCAGCAAUGCCGCGUGAGUGAAGAAGGCCGUCGGGUUGUAAAGCUCUUUUGUCAGGGAAGAGACACCGGCUCUAACACAGUCCGGGAAUGACGGUACCUGAAGAAUAAGCACCGGCUAACUACGUGCCAGCAGCCGCCGUAA